UACGAAGGGGGCUAGCGUUGCUCGGAAUUACUGGGCGUAAAGCGCACGUAGGCGGCUUUCUAAGUCGGGGGUGAAAUCCUGGAGCUCAACUCCAGAACUGCCUUCGAUACUGGAGAGCUUGAGUCCGGGAGAGGUGAGUGGAACUGCGAGUGUAGAGGUGAAAUUCGUAGAAUAUUCGCAAGAACACCAGUGGCGAAGGCG
rnacentral:rRNA from 1 species